AAAAUGAAUAUGUGUUGAAAUCGAUUAAAAAUAUUGUAUUGUAAGUCAAACACUAAAAAAAACAACUAUUAUUCAUAGUUUACAGAUGUUUUAUUGGUUUUAAUUUUAAAUAGAAGAAUUGUUUUUAACACGUUGACUGCCAUGAGGGUCAUUUUUGUCCCUCAGAAGAAUUUUUAAUUGGGCUAAGAGGGGUCAAUUUGUCCCUCAAGGCUAUGUUGUCUAUAUCGACUCGUGAGAUCAAAUAGCCCCUCGGUAACCGUCAAAAUAACGCACUUUCAGAUUCUCUGUUAUCUACAGAACAAAAUGCUCUAUUUAGCAUUUAAAUAUUAUUAAAUGGAAAGACAAAAGGUAUCUCCUAAUGUUGAGUUCAAAACAUGUUGAUACAACCACAGCAAUAACCAAAAGAAAUCAAACCAUUAAUAAACCUGUGAUGGUCAUUGAAUAUAAUCAGGGGAAGAGUUUUAUCGACAGACGUGAUUAAAUGACAUCAUAUUCUACAUCUUUGAGAAGAAGUUUGAAAUGGUACCGUAAAGUUGUUUUUGAUAUUUUGCUUGGUACUUGCCUGACUAAUGUCUUAUCACUAUUUUGUACAGUCAAUAAUAAAAAAAUUAAAAUUACAGAAUUAACAGUUGCUGUUUAGACCCUUCCGCAUUGGCCUAAGACGUCUUUUAUUAUUUGGAUUGAUAUUAAUUUUGUUCACUUUAUAAUAAUAAUAAAGAUUGAACUUAAUUUGAGAAUUCCUUUGUGUAUUUUUCUUGGGUUUGAAAUAUAUAAAGCUGUUACAUCAAAUAAACUAAUAUUAUAACUAAAAAUAAGUAUUCCUUAUAUGAUAUGAAAUUGUAUUAUGUUUUAUGUCAUUAGUUGAUAAGUUAUUCUAUUUUUGUCUCGAC